rnacentral:rRNA from 1 species
UACGGAGGAUCCAAGCGUUAUCCGGAAUCAUUGGGUUUAAAGGGUCCGUAGGCGGGCCUGUAAGUCAGUGGUGAAAUCCGGCGGCUUAACCGUCGAACUGCCAUUGAUACUGCAGGUCUUGAAUUAUUGGGAAGUAACUAGAAUAUGUAGUGUAGCGGUGAAAUGCUUAGAUAUUACAUGGAAUACCGAUUGCGAAGGCAGGUUACUAUCAAUACAUUGACGCUGAUGGACGAAAGCGUGGGGAGCGAACAGG